GGCUCAGGAUGAACGCUAGCGGCAGGCUUAAUACAUGCAAGUCGUGGGGCAGCAUGAGUAGCAAUACUUGAUGGCGACCGGCAAACGGGUGAGGAACACGUACACAACCUUCCUUCAAAGCGGGGAAUAGCCCAGAGAAAUUUGGAUUAAUACCCCAUAAUAUAUUUGAUAAGGCAUCUUAUUAAUAUUAAAGCUUCGGCACUUGAUGAUGGGUGUGCGGCUGAUUAGAUAGUUGGCGGGUAACGGCCCACCAAGUCUACGAUCAGUAGCUGAUGUGAGAGCAUGAUCAGCCACACGGGCACUGAGACACGGGCCCGACUCCUACGGGAGGCAGCAGUAAGGAAUAUUGGACAAUGGACGAAAGUCUGAUCCAGCCAUGCCGCGUGAAGGAUUAAGGUCCUCUGGAUUGUAAACUUCUUUUAUAUGGGACGAAAAAAGGGCAUUCUUGUUCACUUGACGGUACCAUAUGAAUAAGCACCGGCUAACUCCGUG
rnacentral:rRNA from 1 species